rnacentral:rRNA from 1 species
GACGAACGCUGGCGGCGUGCCUAAUACAUGCAAGUCGAACGCUUCUUUCCUCCCGAGUGCUUGCACUCAAUUGGAAAGAGGAGUGGCGGACGGGUGAGUAACACGUGGGUAACCUACCCAUCAGAGGGGGAUGACACUUGGAAACAGGUGCUAAUACCGCAUAACAGUUUAUGCCGCAUGGCAUAAGAGUGAAAGGCGCUUUCGGGUGUCGCUGAUGGAUGGACCCGCGGUGCAUUAGCUAGUUGGUGAGGUAACGGCUCACCAAGGCCACGAUGCAUAGCCGACCUGAGAGGGUGAUCGGCCACACUGGGACUGAGACACGGCCCAGACUCCUACGGGAGGCAGUAGUAGGGAAUCUUCGGCAAUGGACGAAAGUCUGACCGAGCAACGCCGCGUGAGUGAAGAAGGUUUUCGGAUCGUAAAACUCUGUUGUUAGAGAAGAACAAGGACGUUAGUAACUGAACGUCCCCUGACGGUAUCUAACCAGAAAGCCACGGCUAACUACGUG